rnacentral:lncRNA from 1 species
AUUAAAGUGAAUCAUCUCCAGAAGGAACAUCAAACAAAGCUUGGUGUCGUGUGCACCACAGCAGCUGUGCCAGCAGGGACUCAGGAAGAAGUUUAACUCCUCCAGGCAAGGCCAUGAUGAAAAGACCAUGUUUGGGAAGAGUUGAUACCUUCCAUCUUCCACCUACAAGACUUUCUCUCACUCUUUCCCUAACAUGUUUGAAGUGUUACCUGGCCAUACCUGUAGCAUCCUGACCUCCAGCUGACUUGUGCCUGCUGCUUCUCUGCAGCUCCCUGUCCCCUCCUACUCACUGAAAUCACCAGUUUUGUAGCUUUUGGUUUUCCAGAUCAGUGAACUGUAUAGAAAUACUUAACUUUUUUGUCCAAAAGAAAAUGACUCUACCGUUAUUAUCUCCUAUCUGAUCAAAAGCCUGCAGGAAGUUGGACUGAGGGCAUUCUCUCAAUGUUGUGGUUUUCCGAUCUUGUUUCUUCAUUUUUUAUUUUUAUGUUUCUUUUUCAUUGUACAUCUGCUCAGCUCAGUGAAAUGAUCCAACCUAUAUGGAUUCCCAUGUCAACCCUUUCUCAAUUCCUAUUUCCAUGCUGUCUCUAUCAGGAGACACCCAUCAUAUUGCGUCUGGGGUGCUUGUCUGAAUGGUUAAGUGUGCAGUUUUUAUAUAGGCUUCUCUGGGUCUCAUUUCUUAUGCAAAACAGUUUAGUGCAGAACAAGUAUAUCAGCACCUAUCUGCUUGACCUAUCUUCUAUAGUUAGUAUGUAAGACCAGCUACUGCUAUGGGUUACUCAGGAAAUCAAAAGUAGCGCACACACAAAAACAAAAACAGAAAAUAGUCUUCCACAUUGUUUAGAGUGUUAGUUUUCUUUACAUUUCCAG